UAAGUGAAGAGUUUGAUCCUGGCUCAGAGUGAACGCUGGCGGCAGGCCUAAUACAUGCAAGUCGAACGGCAGCACAGCUUAAGCUUGCUUAAGUGGGUGGCGAGUGGCGG
rnacentral:rRNA from 1 species